AACGAACGCUGGCGGCAUGCCUAACACAUGCAAGUCGAACGAGACCUUCGGGCUUAGUGGCGCACGGGUGCGUAACGCGUGGGAACCUGCCCUUAGGUUCGGAAUAACUUCCCGAAUGGGGUGCUAAUACCGGAUAAUGUCCUCGGACCAAAGAUUUAUCGCCUUUGGAUGGGCCUGCGUUGGAUUAGCUGGUUGGUAGGGUAAAAGCCUAUCAAGGCGACGAUCCAUAGCUGGUUUGUGAGGAGGAUCCGCCACACUGGGACUGAGACACGGCCCAGACUCCUACGGGAGGCGGCAGUGGGGAAUAUUGGACAAUGGGCUAAAGCCUGAUGCAGCAAUGCCGCGUGAGUGAUGAAGGCCUUAGGGUUGUAAAGCUCUUUUACCCGGGGUGAUAAUGACGGUACCGGGAGAAUAAGCUCCGGCUAACUCCGUG
rnacentral:rRNA from 1 species